rnacentral:lncRNA from 12 species
GACUUCUCCAAGGGUGACUGUCAUUCUUUUCACCUCUUAAAUGUAUAUCUCUUCCAUGGAUUUUCUUUUGGUUAAAUCUUAUAAAAUGAUGUUGCAGACAAAGUAAAAAGGGCCAAAGACCCAUGAGGUGAAGCUCAAGGCACCCUGCCCAGCAGUCUUCCUGGAGGGCAGAGCUGGCUCCACAUAAUGGCAAGGCCCCUCGCGCUGUCGCAGGCCCCUGCCAGGCCCUGUUCUGGUUAACAUGUGGACAUCUGCCGCGCCCUGUAAAGCAACCGCAGUUGCCAGUCACCCAGACGUCACUCUGUAAAUCUGCGCGACAGCUCGCUUCCAGCCUUGAAACUGGGGAACCUACAGUUCCAGAACUUUCUCAGGCCCCAACCCAAAGCUGUGCAUCAAAGGUAUCCCUCAGAUGCUUGUUCAUCAAACGAUGAGGAGAUGAGAAAUAAGCGAGUGAAAUCAUUUUUUAAAAAAUUCAUUUAAAUUUGUCCAAUUCAAGGUCAUCCUUGAAAUGCACUAAUUUAUGAAAUCAAGGACCAUCACUUACCAUCAUGGCUAAUGAGGACAGUGGGCUCAGUGGUACUCAGCACCCCAGAAGCUGAGAUUCACUAGUCUACUCACCUGUCUACGCAGGGAGUAGCCAUCCUCUGACAGCCUGAUAGGCAAUAUAUGGAUGCCACUGUCUGCAAGAGAGGAGGUGCUGGCAGGAAGAAGGGGUGCAGCAAAUACUUCCCCUGAGGACAGUAGUGGGUAAUGAGCUGGAGGUAAGGGCACAGUUAGGAAACUGUGAACAGGAGAUGAAGCUGUGGCUGUGGAGAUGGAGGAAUGAACAGUGGGGACAGAUAAGCAAGAGGAAAGCUCAAUGUGAUCCCAGCUUCAGCUGUGUGGAAGGGGUAAGGAAAAGUCAGUGACUCCCAGGUUUCCAGCUUGGCUAAUGAGGUGAACAAAUGGUGCAAUCUUCCUUGAAGAGAAGGAAAAACAAAGAAGAAGAAUGUUGUCCCAGAAACCAAAGAGAGAAAUGUGUUCAGAAUGGAAAAUGGUGUGCAGUGCCAGUCUCUGCCUAGGAGAAAGGCUUAAAAAAGCCUAAAAAACAGAAGCAGUGAUUCUUCUGCUUCCUACCAUGUCUGGAGAAAUCUCCACAAUGUAAUUCCCUAAACACUGGGUAGCAUAUAAAAAGAAAACAGUUUUUCGUAUGAAUGGCUGGGUUAGUGGAAGAAAAAGAGGAUAUUGUCAGAGCUUGAAACAAGCAUAGAAUGGAGUAGACCACUGCUGGAGGUGGUCCUUUCCUGGGGAUACCAGCCCAUCCCUGGUGGCUCAUGGCCUGGAUUUGAUAAGCCACUAGCCUAGGGCCAGAGCACAC